UCCCUGCUUUUCCUCCCUGAGCAGGUGCCUUCACGUGAUGACAGCGUCAAGGCUUUUAAAGCCUCGGCCCUUUGGCCGGGGCUCUUUCUUU
rnacentral:ncRNA from 1 species